AGCGAACGCUGGCGGCAGGCCUAACACAUGCAAGUCGAACGAACCUUUCGGGGUUAGUGGCGGACGGGUGAGUAACACGUGGGAACGUGCCUUUAGGUUCGGAAUAACUCAGGGAAACUUGUGCUAAUACCGAAUGUGCCCUUCGGGGGAAAGAUUUAUCGCCUUUAGAGCGGCCCGCGUCUGAUUAGCUAGUUGGUUGAGGUAAUGGCUCACCAAGGCGACGAUCAGUAGCUGGUCUGAGAGGAUGAUCAGCCACAUUGGGACUGAGACACGGCCCAAACUCCUACGGGAGGCAGCGGUGGGGAAUCUUGCGCAAUGGGCGAAAGCCUGACGCAGCCAUGCCGCGUGAAUGAUGAAGGUCUUAGGAUUGUAAAAUUCUUUCACCGGGGACGAUAAUGACGGUACCCGGAGAAGAAGCCCCGGCUAACUUCGUG
rnacentral:rRNA from 1 species